AAUCUAGAAGAUAUAACUUCUACCUUGCUAAAGAACAAAAGUUGUUUGGCAUUCCUUUCAGAAAAGGAGUACCUUGAUGAAGGUAUUGAUGCCUUUAAUAUAUAACUUAUGAAAUUCGACAGGUAAAAGAACUGACACAAUCUAAUGAACCUAUAAAAUCAAAUUUGAUUAGAUCAAAUCCAGAACCCAUUGUAAAGACACC
rnacentral:lncRNA from 1 species